UACGGAGGGGACUAGCGUUGUUCGGAAUUACUGGGCGUAAAGCGCACGUAGGCGGAUUUGUAAGUCAGGGGUGAAAUCCCGAGGCUCAACCUCGGAACUGCCUUUGAUACUGGCGAUCUUGAGUCCGGGAGAGGUGAGUGGAACUCCUAGUGUAGAGGUGAAAUUCGUAGAUAUUAGGAAGAACACCAGUGGCGAAGGCGGCUCACUGGCCCGGUACUGACGCUGAUAUGCGAAAGCGUGGGGAGCAAACAGG
rnacentral:rRNA from 1 species